GUCUCUGAGGAGUUCAGUUUUGAACCCUGGAGUGAGACAGCUCCGAUUCCCACCUCAGGAUUGGAAAACCACGAUUCCCUGAGGAUUUUUCCUCAUCAUAUCCAAUACCCAGAGUGACUGAACUGACCCUCUCUCUCCGUAAUUCAAGACCUGUGUGGACUGACUGGACAGUCAGCUGUCUGAGAGGGUUUUACCCUGAAGGGCAGGCUGGGUCAGUCCUGAAGCCUGAAACAUCUCCCUCUGUGCCAGCAACCUAAAGAUAUUUGCCCCUUUAAUACUAGAUUAGGUUAGCCAGCAUAGGCUAACAAGAAGAUAGAUAAGGUCCUAGCUGUUGGCCAAAGCCAAAGUCAACAAAUGUUGACCAUUAAUCUUUGCUUUUAGCUGAGGGAAGCCCUGUUUGACCCCUUCCCUAACCUCCCCCUUGUUAUCCUAUCCUAAAUGAACAGCUGUUGUUCAUCACUUGCAGUCAGAUCUUUAAAGGAAGAAGGAAGGUUGGUGGGUUUUAGAGCCAGGAGGGAGAUCGCUAUCAGAACCAGGGAUGGGGACUUCCUGUUUUUCUCAUCUGGUUCUGGGAGAUGCUGUUCCCCUUCUGAGGUCGGGAGCACGUUUCCUAAAAGCCACUAGAGGGAGAAUUAGGACAAGAAGAACAGAAACAUGCUCAACAGGUAUGGAAUGAUACAAUGCUGGGGUCAUCAUAUCAUCUGAAAGGCAUUCUGUUAAGGAAAUUCUCUCCUCCUGGUCAGCAACUGACCCAAUUCUGAAUCCUGAACUCAGUAACUCUUUGCUCAUAGGGUAACUGCUAAGACUAGCUUCUUUUCCCCCCAAGAUUGACAGUCAUGGACUAGGUAAGAACUUAAUGAAGAAUGAUAUGACGAUGGGAACUCAAUUAAAGUGAGUGACUUUUUCUUAUUUGUCCAUUCAUCUAUGUAAUGAGUGCCCAUGGAAAAUCCUGCGUAGUGAGCUGUGUUAAAAGCUGGCUAAGGUUUUAAGCACAAAAAUCAUAAAAGGGCUGGGUGGUGACGCCUGGACUAUAAGGCCAGCAACAGCUGCCUUCGACAACUGCGUCUAUGACAUCUGUGCAGUUCCUAGUCUAAUGAGCAUGUCUGAGUCAGAGAACAUGGAAUUCUGGCAGUAAGAGGUCACAGAACCCUGACAUCCUGUAUUGCACAAGAUUUGUGUUUAGAGAAGAACAAAUGUUCUGAUUUUCAAUAAAAGAGAAAAGAAUGC
rnacentral:lncRNA from 1 species